rnacentral:lncRNA from 1 species
GAGAGAAAUUGCAAAAGAAAGAAAGAAAGAGCUUGAGAGAAAAGAAAAAAAGAUUGAAUAAGAAUAAGAACAAGAACAAGAAAAAGAGUGUGAGAAAAAAAAAAGAAGAUGAGAAAAAAAUUGAAAAAGAAAGGGAGUGCGAGAGAUAAGAAAGCAAAGAGAUUUUGUGUGUUGAAAAUUGGAGAGUUGAACUAAAAAUGAGGUAAAAUAGGAGAGUUCCAUCGUGGAAAAAGACAAUGAGGAGCA